AUCUAUGGUCAUAAUAUCCUGAAUGUACAGGAUCUCUCCUGAUCUCAGAAGCUGAGCAGAAUCAGCCCUGGUUAAAAAUUGGAUGGGGGAUUUUCUGGAAAUACCAGGUGUUGUAAAAG
rnacentral:rRNA from 1 species